GAUGAACGCUGACGGCGUGCUUAACACAUGCAAGUCGAACGGUGAAGGCGGAGCUUGCUCUGCUGGAUCAGUGGCGAACGGGUGAGUAACACGUGAGCAAUCUGCCCCUGACUCUGGGAAAAGCGCUGGAAACGGCGUCUAAUACUGGAUACGAGCUGCGAAGGCAUCUUCAGCAGCUGGAAAGAAUUUCGGUCAGGGAUGAGCUCGCGGCCUAUCAGCUUGUUGGUGAGGUAAUGGCUCACCAAGGCGUCGACGGGUAGCCGGCCUGAGAGGGUGACCGGCCACACUGGGACUGAGACACGGCCCAGACUCCUACGGGAGGCAGCAGUGGGGAAUAUUGCACAAUGGGCGAAAGCCUGAUGCAGCAACGCCGCGUGAGGGACGACGGCCUUCGGGUUGUAAACCUCUUUUAGCAGGGAAGAAGCGAAAGUGACGGUACCUGCAGAAAAAGCGCCGGCUAACUACGUG
rnacentral:rRNA from 1 species